rnacentral:rRNA from 1 species
GACGAACGCUGGCGGCGUGCUUAACACAUGCAAGUCGAGCGGUAAGGCCCUUUCGGGGGUACACGAGCGGCGAAACGGGUGAGUAACACGUGGGUGACCUGCCCUCAGCUCUGGGAUAAGCCUGGGAAAACCGGGUCUAAUACCGGAUAUGACUCCAUGACGCAUGUUGUGGGGUGGAAAGCCUUGUGCGGCUGAGGAUGGGCCCGCGGCCUAUCAGCUUGUUGGUGGGGUGAUGGCCUACCAAGGCGACGACGGGUAGCCGGCCUGAGAGGGCGACCGGCCACACUGGGACUGAGACACGGCCCAGACUCCUACGGGAGGCAGCAGUGGGGAAUCUUGCGCAAUGGGCGAAAGCCUGACGCAGCGACGCCGCGUGAGGGAUGACGGCCUCGG